UACGGCCCCAUGGAGGUCUGGGUACUUAUCGCUGCUAUUAUAUAGAGGUAUGCGGCCCCGGCCGACAUCGUACCACUUUUCAAUUUGUGGUGUCCGGGUGCGUUUUGUGCGAUUCACGCACUGCGGCGACGUCGGGAAUUGCGCCGACGAGUACGCGACCGCUCGCAGAGACAAAGUCCGAAAGCUCGUCAGCCGGGGCGGCGCGCGCAAGCGACGUUCAGCGCAACUUUUCCGUGGAAAUACCGAAAGCGGCUCGCACGUUUGCCUUGUAUCGGUGAGCUGGGGCACCGUGGUGCACGCGAGAGGCAGAAACACGGCUUGAAAAGCAAAAAUGAGGAAUUUCUUUCGGCGCUAACUGCCGCCGGCGGCCACGAGUACGGCCCCAUGGAGGUCUGGGUACUUAUCGCUGCUAUUAUAUAGAGGUAUGCGGCCCCGGCCGACAUCGUACCACUUUUCAAUUUGUGGUGUCCGGGUGCGUUUUGUGCGAUUCACGCACUGCGGCGACGUCGGGAAUUGCGCCGACGAGUACGCGACCGCUCGCAGAGACAAAGUCCGAAAGCUCGUCAGCCGGGGCGGCGCGCGCAAGCGACGUUCAGCGCAACUUUUCCGUGGAAAUACCGAAAGCGGCUCGCACGUUUGCCUUGUAUCGGUGAGCUGGGGCACCGUGGUGCACGCGAGAGGUGGAAACACGGCUUGAAAAGCAAAAAUGAGGAAUUUCUUUCGGCGCUAACUGCCGCCGGCGGCCACGAGUACGGCCCCAUGGAGGUCUGGGUACUUAUCGCUGCUAUUAUAUAGAGGUAUGCAACCCCGGCCGACAUCGUACCACUUUUCAAUUUGUGGUGUCCGGGUGCGUUUUGUGCGAUUCACGCACUGCGGCGACGUCGGGAAUUGCGCCGACGAGUACGCGACCGCUCGCAGAGACAAAGUCCGAAACCGCGUCAGCCGGGGCGGCGCGCGCAAGCGACGUUCAGCGCAACUUUUCCGUGGAAAUACCGAAAGCGGCUCGCACGUUUGCCUUGUAAUCGGUGAGCUGGGGCACCGUGGUGCACGCGAGAGGUGGAAAUACGCCGACGAGUACGCAAGCCACCGUCCAAAACAACGGUCAUGGAGCACAGCACCGUGCGUGGCACAACGUUUGCAGAGAAAGUGCGGCAGCGGAAAGCUCGUUCGCCGUGAAAGUCAGCACAGGAUGCGCGGUGGUUCAGGCACGUGAAUAUUCGCGAAGCCGUACUCGCCGCUGGCGAAACAUUGACGAUCACGACCCUCUUGCGCGGUGUUGGUUUUCACGACUUCGGCCCUGUGCAGCCGACGUAAACUUUCAAAGUUCGUCAAGGUGCGGCACGAUUUCCGCCAAAUCCCCGUCGAAAAUGCCACGAGUACGGCCCCAUGGAGGUCUGGGUACUUAUCGCUGCUAUUAUAUGGGGGUUGGAGUGCAGUCGCCCCCCGAGUGCGUGCGACCUGGGUGUCUGAUAUGCGGCGGGCUCCGUGCCCGUCAAGCGUGUCCCCGGAGCCUCUCCCGUGGAUCCCUCGGCAAUCGUCUGCAGCCUCAUCCGCUUGAUGCGUUAGGGGCUGGUUGUCGGACGACGCCGUAUCCACGAUAUCGAGGUGUGUUCCGCAUCGUCCUCGGACGAGUCAAAUAAGAAAGCGCCGAAGGCGCGGGCGUGACCCGUCGCUUGGCGGCUUUGCCGUCUCGGCUACGUUGCAAGCGCCGAUCGGUCCACCAGUGCUGCGGGCUGAUGGCAAAUCCCGCAAGCCGUGACCGAGUCGACGCAACGAAUCUAUCGAGAGUGUGCGUGCUUCUUGCCGCGUGGCGAUACCCAGCCCUGCGGGGAGGGCGCCGUAGCGAGCUCGAACGCCGUCAUCUCGGACUGUGCAAAGAGGUGGGCUUUGCAAAAACGAAGCGUGCUGAGGCGCCUGAAGGUGGCCUCGGCGUCGCAACAACGGCGUCCGGCAUGGCUGGACGCGCAGUUGAACGAUUACCUGGUUGAUCCUGCCAGUAAUCAUAUGCUUGUCUCAAAGAUUAAGCCAUGCAUGUCUAAGUACAUGCCGAAAUAAGGCGAAACCGCGAAUGGCUCAUUAAAUCAGUUAUGGUUCCUUAGAUCGUUUCUUCCUACUUGGAUAACUGUGGCAAUUCUAGAGCUAAUACAUGCAGUGAGCCUGAAGCCCUUUGGGCGACGGGUGCUUUUAUUAGACCAAGAUCGAUCGGGUUUCGGCCCGUAUUGUGUGGUGACUCUGGAUAACUUUGUGCUGAUCGCAUGGCCACGAGCCGGCGACGUUUCUUUCAAGUGUCUGCCUUAUCAACUUUCGAUGGUAGGUUACUUGCUUACCAUGGUUGUUACGGGUAACGGAGAAUCAGGGUUCGAUUCCGGAGAGGGAGCCUGAGAAACGGCUACCACAUCCAAGGAAGGCAGCAGGCGCGCAAAUUACCCACUCCCGGCACGGGGAGGUAGUGACGAAAAAUAACAAUACGGGACUCUUUUGAGGCCCCGUAAUUGAAAUGAGUACACUCUAAAUCCUUUAACGAGGAUCAAUUGGAGGGCAAGUCUGGUGCCAGCAGCCGCGGUAAUUCCAGCUCCAAUAGCGUAUACUAAAGCUGCUGCGGUUAAAAAGCUCGUAGUUGGAUCUCAGUUCCAGACGAGUAGUGCAUCUACCCGAUGCGACGGCUCGGACUGAACAUCAUGCCGGUCCUUUCUUGGUGCACUUCAUUGUGUGCCUCGAGAAGGCCGGUGCUUUUACUUUGAAAAAAUUAGAGUGCUCAACGCAGGCGAGUCGCCUGAAUAAACUUGCAUGGAAUAAUAGAACAAGACCUCGUUUCUGUUCUGUUGGUUUUUGGAAUACGAGGUAAUGAUUAAGAGGGACAGACGGGGGCAUUCGUAUUGCGGCGCUAGAGGUGAAAUUCUUGGACCGUCGCAAGACGAACUACUGCGAAAGCAUUUGCCAAGAAUGUUUUCUUUGAUCAAGAACGAAAGUCAGAGGUUCGAAGGCGAUCAGAUACCGCCCUAGUUCUGACCAUAAACGAUGCCAACCAGCGAUCCGCCUGAGUUACUCAAAUGACUCGGCGGGCAGCUUCCGGGAAACCAAAGUAUUUGGGUUCCGGGGGAAGUAUGGUUGCAAAGCUGAAACUUAAAGGAAUUGACGGAAGGGCACCACCAGGAGUGGAGCCUGCGGCUUAAUUUGACUCAACACGGGAAAACUUACCCGGCCCGGACACUGGGAGGAUUGACAGAUUGAGAGCUCUUUCUUGAUUCGGUGGAUGGUGGUGCAUGGCCGUUCUUAGUUGGUGGAGCGAUUUGUCUGGUUAAUUCCGAUAACGAACGAGACUCUAGCCUAUUAAAUAGGUGCGGGGUUCCCAGCACCUUACAACCUUCUUAGAGGGACAAGCGGCUCCUAGCCGCACGAAACAGAGCAAUAACAGGUCUGUGAUGCCCUUAGAUGUCCGGGGCCGCACGCGCGCUACACUGAAGGAAGCAGCGUGUCUUUAUCCCUGUCUGAAAAGACUGGGUAACCCGUGGAACUUCUUUCGUGAUUGGGAUAGGGGCUUGCAAUUGUUCCCCUUGAACGAGGAAUUCCCAGUAAGCGCGAGUCAUAAGCUCGCGUUGAUUACGUCCCUGCCCUUUGUACACACCGCCCCCAGACUUCUC